rnacentral:snRNA from 1 species
GUGCUCGCUUUGGCAGCACAUAUACUAAAAUUGGAAUAAUACAGAGAAGAUUAGCA